CGCUUGCCCCUUUUAUCCAAAUGAGUUUUUCCACCAUGAUGUAUGGUUCUUGAGUCACUUGAUUCAUAUGUUUAUGAUAUGUGGCCAUAAGUAUUUACUUUGUGGUUUUUAGAGGACUUGGUGAAUUGGCUCACAAUUGGUUGCAGACGAAAAGAAUUGCAGUAUAUCCAUUAAUUUAUCCGCGUUACUAAACUACAUUGGGUUUAAUAACCCCGUUGGCAACGCAUCAGUUUUCCAGAGCAUUCUCAGCUUUGAAGAUCGUGAAGAAGUCGUUUUGUGCAAUCGAAUAGGAGAUCAAUUUUUAUAAUGAUAGUCCUGCUUGUUUACUUUGGACAAAAAACAGGUUUUAACCGACAUUAGUAAUGAUGCUAUCAUUGAUCGUUUUCAGAAAAUGAAAGCCGUCAUGGGCAAUUGUAAAGGUAACAAUGUUAACUCUUAAUAUAGUCAAUUUUCUUUUCUGUCGACUUACACUUUUCGAUUUUGUGCCCCGCCUGAAUCCAUCAUAUUUCUGAAUCCGCCCCUGCCUGAAGUCUCUCACACAUACAUUUAUUUAUUUAUAAUUUCUGAAAAAUAUAAAUGCUACAGUCACCGAUAAUUCUACUAGUUUUGUUAUCGAUAAAACCAAAACGACGUCGUUUUAGUGCAAAAAAAUCAAAACGAUGUCGUUCAACUAAAUUCAUUCUUACUGGAAAAAAACUAAAAGUUAUUUUACUACCCAAAACGAUGUCGUUUUAAUUCCAUCGGUAACAAAAUCUGUAGAACUAUCGGUGACGGUAGCAUUUCUGUUUCUGAAAUAAUAUUAAUUUUUUUUUUUAUAUAAAAUUAUUAUUAAAAAAUAUUGAAGCUAAGUUUUUUGAAAAAAUAAGAUUACCCGUAUGUGUAGAGUUUUUUUUUUCUCAAUACACAAAUUAAAAUAAUAAAUAUUUUCUUUUUUUAAUAAAAAAUCCACAAUAAAGUUUAGUUUUAUGUAUAUUUAGAUUAGGAGCACUUAGAAAGUAAAAUAUUUAGAUCAAUUUUUUAAAAAAUUGAUAGCAAAAUUUUAUUUUGUAAGUAUAUUUUGAUUAGGAGUACUUAAAAGCAAACUAUUUAGAUCAAUUCUUUUUUAAAAAUUAUUUUUUGAUAAAAAAAUAAAAAUAUAUAUAUUAUAAAUAAAUGUUGCUUUGAGAAAAAAAUUUAUUUAUUUAUUUUAAUAGGUAUAUUGAGAGAGAGAAUUGUAAUCCCUACAUUUAAGAGAAAUAUUAUUAUUUUUGCACAAAAAUUAGCUCUUAAUAAAAUCUUAAAAAUAAUUUUAAAAAUAAUAAAAAUAAUUUUAAAAAUAAUAAAAAUAAGUACUAAUUUUAAAACUACAGCAAAUGUAAGGUCAUUGAAAUUUAGCCUUUAUAUUUUGAACCCAUCUAAAAAGGGGAAGCCCGGUAUAUUUUGUACAAUUCUUAAAGACACUACCAGAGCAUCAAAGUUAAGGUGAAAUACAAAAUUGUAUACCUUACCAUUUUCCCAAUUUCCUGAGGUUUCAAAAACAUGGCUCCCCCUUUUGCAAAUAUAUAUAUAUACAUAUAUAUAAAAACCUCGGGAAAUUAGAAAAAUGGUAAGGUAUACAAUUUUGUAUUUCACCUUAUACCUUACCAUUUUUCCAAUUUCCCGAGAUUUCAAAAACAUGGCUUCCCCUUUUGCAAACAAUAUAUAUAUAAUCUCUCUAUCCUAAUUUUUUUUCAUUUUCAAUUCACUUUCAAUCUCUUGAAAAUAGACAAACAAAUUAGGACGGAAGAAAUACAAAAUAAUUUUAUAGAAAAGAUAUGGUUGUGUUGUGGGAAUAAGUAUUUGUUACAGCAUUAGGCGAUCAUUCAUAGUGUUAUCGACUAGUAGGAAAGAACUAAGACGGAGAUAUUCUUUGACCAAAGAUGCUCAUGUCCCAGUCUCGUUAAGGUUUUAAAAAAAAUUACCAUGUAGCCUUCAAAUUCACAUGGUUUACUCCGAUGUACAUUGAAGAGGCCCAAAUAUAUCACAUGCAAAUAAACAACAUCAAUCCAAUUGAUCAUUUGUUUUGAAUUGAGAUGAUCUUUUUUAUUAAAAGGUAUUAAAGAUAUCUAUAUUAUACCAUCCAACAAAUUGCAUAAAAAAUGAAAAUAUAAUCAAUUAAAUCCCAAGAAUCCCUUUAUAUAGUCCAAAAAGUUUCUAAAAUAAUUGAAAAUAUCAUUAAAAAAUAAUUACAUGGAUUCAUUAGUUGUUCUUAUUAUGACUUUUUAUAAUGCAUGUAUAACAAAUUAUAUGUGAGUAGUGACAAACGAAAGCUAUUUUUAUUUUGUUUUAAAACAUUUAUACUACCCCCUCCUAGGAGAAAUUUUUGAGUACGUAACUUGAGGAUUAUUUAAUACUUUCGGAGUAAUUAUGGUGCCCAUUUGCACUUGGUACUGUUCUAACCAAUUUUUUUUAAAACAACACCCGAUCGGACCGGCCGGUUUCGCGUUUGAACCGUCGAUCGGCCGAGAAACGUUCCCGGUCA
rnacentral:lncRNA from 1 species